rnacentral:rRNA from 1 species
AGUGAACGCUGGCGGUAUGCCUAACACAUGCAAGUCGAACGGCCGCACAGGAAGAGUGUGCUUCUACGGUUGGCGAGUGGCGGAUGGGUGAGGAAUACAUCGGAAUCUUCUAUGUCGGGGGUGACAUCGGAGGGACAGUGAUGCUAAUACCGCAUAUGUUGAACGGGUGGAAUCAAUGGUGCAUGGGGGUUUUGGUGAUUGAUUUAGCCGAUGUCGGAUUAGCUAGUUGGCGGGGUAAGGGCCCACCAAGGCAACGAUCCGUAGCUGGUCUGAGAGGGUGAUCAGCCACACUGGAACUGAGACACGGUCCAGACUCCUACGGGAGGCAGCAGUGGGGAAUAUUCGGCAAUGGGCGAAAGCCUGAUCCAGCCAUGCCGCGUGAGUGAAGAAGGCCUUCGGAUUGUAAAGCUCUUUUAUUAGGGAAGAACAACAGCAGGUUAAUCCCCCGCUGUUCUGACGGUACCCAAAGAGUAAGCCCCGGCUAACUUCGUG